rnacentral:rRNA from 1 species
UACGUAGGUGGCAAGCGUUGUUCGGAAUUAUUGGGCGUAAAGGGCGCGUAGGCGGUUUGUUAAGUCGGCUGUGAAAGCCCGGGGCUCAACCCCGGAGGGUCAGCCGAUACUGGCAGACUAGAGUACGGAAGAGGUAGCUGGAAUUCCCGGUGUAGCGGUGAAAUGCGUAGAGAUGUGGAGGAAUACCGAUGGCGAAGGCAGCCCCCUGGGCCAAUACUGACGCUCAUGCACGAAAGCGUGGGGAGCAAACAGG